rnacentral:rRNA from 1 species
UACGGGGGGGGCAAGCGUUGUUCGGAAUUACUGGGCGUAAAGGGCUCGUAGGUGGCCAACUAAGUCAGACGUGAAAUCCCCCGGCUUAACCAGGGAACUGCGUCUGAUACUGGAUGGCUUGAGAUUGGGAGAGGGAUGCGGAAUUCCAGGUGUAGCGGUGAAAUGCGUAGAUAUCUGGAGGAACACCGGUGGCGGAAGGGACAUCCUGGGCCAGCACUGGCGCUGAGUGAGCGAAAGCCAGGGGAGCAAACGGG